GACGAACGCUGGCGGCGUGCCUAAUACAUGCAAGUCGAACGAGAGCGACCGGUGCUUGCACUGGUCAAUCUAGUGGCGAACGGGUGAGUAACACGUGGGUAACCUGCCCAUCAGAGGGGGAUAACAUCCGGAAACGGAUGCUAAAACCGCAUAGGUCUUCGAACCGCAUGGUUUGAAGAGGAAAAGAGGCGCAAGCUUCUGCUGAUGGAUGGACCCGCGGUGCAUUAGCUAGUUGGUGAGGUAACGGCUCACCAAGGCCGCGAUGCAUAGCCGACCUGAGAGGGUGAUCGGCCACAUUGGGACUGAGACACGGCCCAAACUCCUACGGGAGGCAGCAGUAGGGAAUCUUCCGCAAUGGACGCAAGUCUGACGGAGCAACGCCGCGUGAGUGAAGAAGGUUUUCGGAUCGUAAAACUCUGUUGUUAGAGAAGAACAAGUGCUAGAGUAACUGUUAGCGCCUUGACGGUAUCUAACCAGAAAGCCACGGCUAACUACGUG
rnacentral:rRNA from 1 species